rnacentral:rRNA from 1 species
GAUUAACGCUGGCGGCGUGCCUAAGACAUGCAAGUCGAGUGGGUUUAGGCCCACGGCGAACGGGUGAGUAAUACCUAGGAACAUACCUCUAGUUGAGCAUAACCUGCCGAAAGGCAGGAUAAUACUCAAUGUGAUCGCGAGAUUAAAGUCGCAAGACGCUAGAGAAAUGGCCUGGGCACCAUCAGCUAGUUGGUAGGGUAAAGGCCUACCAAGGCUACGACGGUUAGGGCCCGACGA